UUGAACGCUGGCGGCAUGCUUUACACAUGCAAGUCGAACGGUAACAGGCCUUCGGGUGCUGACGAGUGGCGCACGGGUGAGUAAUAUAUAGUUAAUGUGCCUCGAAGACUGGGAUAGCCACUGGAAACGGUGAUUAAUACUAGAUACACCUUUUUAACAUAAGUUAAAUCGGGAAAUGUCUUUUCGCUUCGAGAUCAGACUAUAUCCUAUCAGUUAGUUGGUGAGGUAAUGGCUCACCAAGGCAAUGACGGGUAGCGGUUCUGAGAGGAUGAUCCGCCACACUGGUACUGAGACACGGACCAGACUCCUACGGGAGGCAGCAGUGAGGAAUAUUGCACAAUGGGGGGAACCCUGAUGCAGCAACGCCGCGUGGAGGAUGACGCAUUUCGGUGUGUAAACUCCUUUUAUAUGUCAAGAAAAUGACGGUAGCAUAUGAAUAAGCACCGGCUAACUCCGU
rnacentral:rRNA from 1 species